CAGUAGCCACGGUAAUACAGAGGGUGCGAGCGUUAAUCGGAUUUACUGGGCGUAAAGCGUGCGUAGGCGGCUUCUUAAGUCGGAUGUGAAAUCCCUGAGCUUAACUUAGGAAUUGCAUUCGAUACUGGGAAGCUAGAGUAUGGGAGAGGAUGGUAGAAUUCCAGGUGUAGCGGUGAAAUGCGUAGAGAUCUGGAGGAAUACCGAUGGCGAAGGCAGCCAUCUGGCCUAAUACUGACGCUGAGGUACGAAAGCAUGGGGAGCAAACAGGAUUAGAUACCCGUGUAGUCCCUGUCUCUUAUAA
rnacentral:rRNA from 1 species